UGCAUUUACUACUGUAAGUCGCUCUGGAUAAGAGCGUCUGCUAAAUGACGUAAA
rfam:Salmo salar isolate Sally breed double haploid chromosome ssa25, whole genome shotgun sequence.